UGCAGUGGCCUGGGUGGCACGUCCACACCGUCUGCACAUGGUCCCCUGAGCUGAGGUGGCAGGCACAGCCAUUUCGCCCUAGGAACUCUGGUGUGAAGUGCUGAGGGCCAGACCUCUAUACUGGUACCGUGUGAGCAAAUGAAACUAGAUGAAGCACAAAGGAAAAGGAAAAAACAGGACAUUUCAAGUAGUAUUUCGGUGCCAAUUGAGACAUCACUUUGAAAGGAAGCAUUAAGAGGUUGAAGAAAAAAGAACUGAAUAUUUUAAGAAUUGAUGUGAUGAGCUCUUUAAAAGUCAGAAACUGUUUGUUGCACAUCUUUAAACUACACAUGGAACAGCUAUUGGUGCAUCUUACAGGAAUAUGACUGAAAUUUUCUGUUAGAAGAUGAAACCCGUGGAGCAGAGCUGAUCAGCCAGUAGCCAGCUGAACCCGACAGACUCAUGAAGUAAAUUGAUUGGCCAUAGAGUUUGGGGAGAAUUUAUGCAGUCCUUUUGUGGCCAUAGAUAACCAACAAAAAGGCUAAUCAUGGAAUGCUUACUAUGUGCUGGGUGAAGUUCCUGGAGAUUUUCAUGUAUUGUAUCAUUAAUCUUCACGACAACUUACUAAUAUAGUAGUAAUUCCACUUUACAGAUGAAAAAAACUGAGGCACAAUGAAGUUAAGAAACUUUGGUGCAGAAGAGCCAGGCUCAAAGAGAAGCAGUCUUAUUUCAGAGCAUUUUUUACCACCAUGCCUUAAUCUUGGUCUUUACUAUUCUGCUCAUCAUGUGCACAAUAUAAAUCAGUAUUUG